AAUCUUUUGAGGAAGUUUGUUGAUUUGCUUCUUUAAAUCGAGUUUCAAAUAAUCGUUGCAACUGUUGUUGUGUUUAAUUAUUAUUUUAUUUAUUCUGCAUUAUGGCACGGAGAGCCAAAGAGCGGAUGGAUCAAACUGAAAUGCAUCCGCUCAUAAAUAGAGAUGAAGACGAUGAGGAGACAGAUAUGGACUCUAGAGCACAUGCAGGUCUGUCAACUGCAGGGGACAACCAGGAACGUCCUCCAAGGACUUCAGCCCGCCAUGGGAA